GACGAACGCUGGCGGCGUGCUUAACACAUGCAAGUCGAACGGAAAGGCCCUGCUUUUGUGGGGUGCUCGAGUGGCGAACGGGUGAGUAACACGUGAGUAACCUGCCCUUGACUUUGGGAUAACUUCAGGAAACUGGGGCUAAUACCGGAUAGGAGCUCCUGCUGCAUGGUGGGGGUUGGAAAGUUUCGGCGGUUGGGGAUGGACUCGCGGCUUAUCAGCUUGUUGGUGGGGUAGUGGCUUACCAAGGCUUUGACGGGUAGCCGGCCUGAGAGGGUGACCGGUCACAUUGGGACUGAGAUACGGCCAGACUCCUACGGGAGGCAGCAGUGGGGAAUAUUGCACAAUGGGCGGAAGCCUGAUGCAGCAACGCCGCGUGCGGGAUGACGGCCUUCGGGUUGUAAACCGCUUUCGCCUGUGACGAAGCGUGAGUGACGGUAAUGGGUAAAGAAGCACCGGCUAACUACGUG
rnacentral:rRNA from 1 species